rnacentral:rRNA from 1 species
GCGUUGUCCGGAAUUAUUGGGCGUAAAGCGCGCGCAGGCGGUCAUUUAAGUCUGGUGUUUAAUCCCGGGGCUCAACCCCGGAUCGCACUGGAAACUGGGUGACUUGAGUGCAGAAGAGGAGAGUGGAAUUCCACGUGUAGCGGUGAAAUGCGUAGAUAUGUGGAGGAACACCAGUGGCGAAGGCGACUCUCUGGGCUGUAACUGACGCUGAGGCGCGAAAGCGUGG